CAGCCGCCACGGUAAUACAGAGGGUGCGAGCGUUAAUCGGAUUUACUGGGCGUAAAGCGUGCGUAGGCGGCUUCUUAAGUCGGAUGUGAAAUCCCUGAGCUUAACUUAGGAAUUGCAUUCGAUACUGGGAAGCUAGAGUAUGGGAGAGGAUGGUAGAAUUCCAGGUGUAGCGGUGAAAUGCGUAGAGAUGUGGAGGAAUACCGAUGGCGAAGGCAGCCCCCUGGGCCAAUACUGACGCUCAUGCACGAAAGCGUGGGGAGCAAACAGGAUUAGAUACCCCCGUAGUCCCUGUCUCUUAUAC
rnacentral:rRNA from 1 species